rnacentral:lncRNA from 1 species
AGAGACAGGGGAAAAGAAGUGAUAAAUAAGAUGCCAAUGUGAGAGGACCAAAUACAGAGGCCAAAAAUUGAACUAUUUUCGCGUAGCUUGAAUGUGGUGGAGUAUCAUGAGAAAAGCAGUAAAUGAGGAAACUUGCAACGGAUAAAAACAUCUCAGCAAAGUGUGUAUCAAAAGGGGAUUUAUCACUGCCUUGGUACUUGAGCUGUAACCAUAGUUGGGAAAAUGAGAGCGAGAAUAAGAAUGUUCGUAUACUGAGGAGGAGGAGCAUAUUGCUCGGCUUGAAAAUCUGUUGUUGUUCUUUCUUCUGCCAUUGAGGAAGCAAAUUUCGAACUAAUUCUUCUUUGUUUUC